GAUGAACGCUGGCGGCGUGCUUAACACAUGCAAGUCGAACGGUGAAGCAGAGCUUGCUCUGUGGAUCAGUGGCGAACGGGUGAGUAACACGUGAGCAAUCUGCCCCUGACUCUGGGAUAAGCGCUGGAAACGGCGUCUAAUACUGGGAUACGAGCCGUGAAGGCAUCUUCAACGGUUGGAAAGAUUUUUCGGCAGGGAUGAGCUCGCGGCCUAUCAGCUUGUUGGUGAGGUAAUGGCUCACCAAGGCGUCGACGGGUAGCCGGCCUGAGAGGGUGACCGGCCACACUGGGACUGAGACACGGCCCAGACUCCUACGGGAGCAGCAGUGGGGAAUAUUGCACAAUGGGCGCAAGCCUGAUGCAGCAACGCCGCGUGAGGGAUGACGGCCU
rnacentral:rRNA from 1 species